rnacentral:rRNA from 1 species
AAUGAACGCUGGCGGCAGGCCUUACACAUGCAAGUCGAACGUGAAAGUCCUUUCCGGGAUGAGUAAAGUGGCGCACGGGUGAGUAACGCGUGGGAACGUACCCUUCAGUAUGGGAUAACAGCGGGACACUGCUGUUAAUACCGUAUAUUCUCGAGAGAGGAAAGAUUUAUCGCUGAAGGAUCGGCCCGCGUCAUUUUAGCUAGCUAGUGGGGUAAUGGCCUACCAAGGCUACGACCUGUAGCCGGGCUGAGAGGAUGAACAGCCACACUGGAACUGAGACACAGUCCAGACUCCUACGGAAGGCGGCAGUGGGGAAUAUUGGACAAUCGAGUAAAGCCUGAUCCAGACAUGCCGGGUGAAUGAUGGAGGCCUUAAGGUUGUAGAGAACUUUUGACGGGGGAGAUAAUGACGGUACCCGUAGAAUAAGCUCCGGCUAACUUCGUGCCAGCCGCCGCCGUAA